GGGCAGAGCCGAGGUACUGGGUGGCAGAACAGGGUGUGGCAGGUACACUGGCCCAGGCCUCCAUCGCUCCCUCUGCGCUGCAGCCCGGCCAGUUCCGCUCCUUCUCCCCCAGAUCCUGCGGUGGCGCGGCGCGGCGCUGAGAGGAGCUGAGUGCCUCAGUGGAGCCCAAGUCAGGAAACGCGUCCAGGAAAAAGGAAAUCCGCUUUCCGACCAAGCUGGCGGGUUCCUUAUAUAGGGGGUGCUGGGGCCCAGAGAACCGACCAGGAGCCGGAGAGGGAGACAGCAGUCGAGACAGGGAAAGGGAGCCCCGACACCCAAAGGAAAGAGCGUCAGUGAUUCGAUUUGCGGAGCCCCAGGGAUUAAAAAGACGACCAGGAGCCUCAGUGGAGAGGAGGGAGCAUUUAAGUCUGACAGAAAGGUAGAGGGAUAAAGGAAAGGGAAAUUGAAUGGAGGUGUAAGACUGGAGGAUUGUCAGAGCUCCUGGUGUGGUAUUUCUUGACAGCCUGGCACUGCUAUCCAACCACAAUCUUAGACAAGUCUGAGUUCAAGAGAAUGGAUCCUGGAUACCUCCCCCUGCCAUAACUCAUGGAUGCUGGGAGGACACAUCAUCCCAAGAAAUCUAGUCAACCAAGUCACAGAACAAAGGUGCGUGGAAAGGCCAAAGAAGUCCAGAAGAUCGAGGGGAGCCUAAACCCUUUGGUGUUCAACAAGGGUCCAGUCAGAGGGAAUCCAAGGACAGAGCACCAUGUCUGAGAUCUGGCAAUGGCCAGAAUGCCAGAGCUUCAAGGAAUACUAAGUUUUAGAUAAUAUAGUGGACAAAGAUAGGGGGCUGGACUCUCAGUUUUUUUUGGGGGGGGAGUUCCUUAGGAACUCCCUAAUUAAAGAAACUCUGGCUACCAAUGCAAGUUGGUACCUUCUUUGCAACUUUUAGUCUUAGAGGAUGGCCUAGAUGGUGAGGAGAUUAGAGACUAGCUGCUAUUUCUCUGAGGCCUGCACAGCUUAGAGAAGGGACUUGAACCCAGGUCUUCCUGUUUCCAAGGCCAGCUGUCACUUACUAUACCACGAUGACUCUUUGACAAAGGUAGAACUGAAAGUUAGGUAUCCUAACACUCAGUUCAUCUCAAUCUUAGCGCAAUGGGAGAAUCCUGCUAAUUAAUGUCUAUCAUUGGCUGCUUUCCAUUUGCCCCUCCCCUCCACAUUUACCUCCCGCCAACCACAUUUUACUUGGCCAAACUUCCCUCAUUCAUUUAUAAAGGGGGAAAGGUCUUGGCUGAGAUAGUUGUCCAGGAUGCUUUCCUUCUGAUCCCCCCAGAACUCUGCUUGCUGCUUACCCCGUAUCCUCUGAAAAGAAACCCUAUUCAUUGCUACCACACCUCUCUCCCGCCCCCAACAAGUCUAGGUCUCCUUUAGACUCUGAUAAAUUAUUCCUUGUCAGUAAUACCAAGGUUUCUGGGUAGGGGGGAGGGAAGAUGGAGAGAAAGGAACUUAGGGCCCUCCUGCCACCAUCUUUACCCUGCCUCCUUGGUGCUAUCCAGUUCUCCUAGAUGACACAGUGGAGAGAGUGUUGGGCUU